rnacentral:rRNA from 1 species
UACGUAGGGGGCAAGCGUUGUCCGGAUUUAUUGGGCGUAAAGAGCGUGUAGGCGGUCAUGUAGGUCCGUUGUGAAAACUCGAGGCUCAACCUCGAGACGCCGAUGGAAACCAUCUGACUAGAGUCCGGAAGAGGAGAGUGGAAUUCCUGGUGUAGCGGUGAAAUGCGCAGAUAUCAGGAAGAACACCCGUGGCUAAGGCGGCUCUCUAGUACGGUACUGACGCUGAGACGCGAAAGCGUGGGGAGCGAACAGG